UACACUCCUGCGGGAGGCAGCAGUGGGGAAUAUUGCACAAUGGGCGCAAGCCUGAUGCAGCGACGCCGCGUGGGGGAUGAAGGCCUUCGGGUUGUAAACUCCUUUCGCUAGGGACGAAGCUUUUUUGUGACGGUACCUAGAUAAGAAGCACCGGCUAACUACGUGCCAGCAGCCGCGGUAAUACGUAGGGUGCGAGCGUUGUCCGGAAUUACUGGGCGUAAAGGGCUCGUAGGUGGUUUGUCGCGUCGUCUGUGAAAUUCUGGGGCUUAACUCCGGGCGUGCAGGCGAUACGGGCAUAACUUGAGUGCUGUAGGGGUAACUGGAAUUCCUGGUGUAGCGGUGAAAUGCGCAGAUAUCAGGAGGAACACCGAUGGCGAAGGCAGGUUACUGGGCAGUUACUGACGCUGAGGAGCGAAAGCAUGGGUAGCGAACAGGAUUAGAAACCCUGGUAGUCCCA
rnacentral:rRNA from 1 species